GCGGGCGUAGCUUAGUUGGCUUAAAGCACUGCCUUGUCAAGGCAGGGAUCGCCGGUU
rnacentral:tRNA from 1 species